rnacentral:tRNA from 1 species
AUAUAUAAAGUAAAUUUUACAUUUAAUUUCGACUUAAAUUUUACUAAAUAAUUAGUUAUAUAUA